UAGGGAAUCUUCGGCAAUGGGGGCAACCCUGACCGAGCAACGCCGCGUGAGUGAAGAAGGUUUUCGGAUCGUAAAGCUCUGUUGUAAGUCAAGAACGGGUGUGAGAGUGGAAAGUUCACACUGUGACGGUAGCUUACCAGAAAGGGACGGCUAACUACGUGCCAGCAGCCGCGGUAAUACGUAGGUCCCGAGCGUUGUCCGGAUUUAUUGGGCGUAAAGCGAGCGCAGGCGGUUUGAUAAGUCUGAAGUUAAAGGCUGUGGCUCAACCAUAGUUCGCUUUGGAAACUGUCAAACUUGAGUGCAGAAGGGGAGAGUGGAACUCCAUGUGUAGCGGUGAAAUGCGUAGAUAUAUGGAGGAACACCGGUGGCGAAAGCGGCUCUCUGGUCUGUAACUGACGCUGAGGCUCGAAAGCGUGGGGAGCGAACAGGAUUAGAUACCCUGGUAGUCCACGCCGUAAACGAUGAGUGCUAGGUGUUGGAUCCUUUCCGGGAUUCAGUGCCGCAGCUAACGCAUUAAGCACUCCGCCUGGGGAGUACGACCGCAAGGUUGAAAC
rnacentral:rRNA from 1 species